UACGUAGGGUGCAAGCGUUAAUCGGAAUUACUGGGCGUAAAGCGUGCGCAGGCGGUGAUGUAAGACAGAUGUGAAAUCCCCGGGCUCAACCUGGGAACUGCAUUUGUGACUGCAUCGCUGAGAGGCGAGAGGGGGAUGGAAUUCCGCGUGUAGCAGUGAAAUGCGUAGAUAUGCGGAGGAACACCGAUGGCGAAGGCAAUCCCCUGGGCCUGUACUGACGCUCAUGCACGAAAGCGUGGGGAGCAAACAGG
rnacentral:rRNA from 1 species